GGAGAGGUGCUUGAGCUUGGUUAAAAAGGCGCGACUGGAAAUCGCGUGUACGGAAUCGUUUUUCGUACCGAGGGUUCAAAUCCCUCCCUCUCCG
rnacentral:tRNA from 2 species